GUUUUUCUUUGUGGAACGCAUAUGCGUUCCACCUAUCGGCGGUUCAAGAUGACGUCAUCGAUCCGUGCGUGGAACGCACAUGCAUUGCACUUCGCCACUUCAGUUCAACGAGGAAAAUCUCAAAACACAAACACUGAAUGUAUUAGGCAAAGUUACACCAAGUUAUCAAAUAUAAAUAUAUUAAGUAUACUUAAACACUCCAUAUGUCUUAAAAUAGAUCUGAUAUACAUUAAAUAUAUAUUGUAGAGCACUUCUCACAGAGAGAAGUGGUUAAGGAUAUCACAAGCUAUAUAGGUGACCAUUCCAAAAAAUACAAUUCACGAUAUCAC